rnacentral:tRNA from 1 species
GGGGAUAUAGCUCAGUUGGUAGAGUGCUUGCCUAGCCUAGAGUACAAAGCAUUGGGUUCAAGUCCCAGUACCCCA